rnacentral:misc_RNA from 1 species
GAUGAAGAACGUGGCGAAAUGCGAUAAGUAGUGUGAAUUGCAGAAUUCAGUGAAUCAUCGAAUCUUUGAACGCACAUUGCGCCCCUUGGUAUCCCGAGGGGCAUGCCUGUUCGAGCGUCAUUUCACCACUCAAGCCUGGCUUGGUGUUGGGCGACGUCCUCUUUGGGGACGCGCCUCGAAACGCUCGGCGGCGUGGCACCGGCUUUAAGCGUAGCAGAAUCUUUCGCUUUGGAAGUCGGGGCCCCGUCUGCCGGAAGACCUGCUCGCAAGGUUGACCUCGGAUCAGGCAGGGAUACCCGCUGAACUUAAGCAUAUCAAUAAGCGGAGGA